CUGAUCAUGCUUAUUUGAAAUUUAAAAUUUUCAUUGCAUUUUUUUCUCACUUUUUGCUCUUCUUUUAGUCCAUAUGUUGUGUACCUUGGAGCUCAUUCACAUAAUUUUGAAGCUUCACUCAUUGAUUUAGAUCAAGUUAAAGAUGGUCACUAUCUGUUGUUUGGGAAGUAAAGAAAAGGCGAAAGAUGCCAUCUUUUACUCAUAAAAGGCGAAGAUGAUGAGGGCCAUUUCUUUGAUGAUUCGUCGACGACCACCGUCUCCUUGCGGUCUUCAAGUUUAAAGUCGACCCAACUUAAAAAAAAGGCCAUGGUGACGAACGCAAACCCCAACGGCGCCCUUCGAUGAUGACGACUAGGGUUCCGGCGACUGUUCCGGAACCAUUAAGUGUAACUGAUAGGAGGUAGAUAUGAACACUGGUAAUGUUGUCUGAUUACCUUUAAGACUCCCAAAUCUAUGUUUGAUUUAAUAUAAAAGAAAAAAAAAAUGAAGUUUUCAAAGUUAGUGAUCUUGGCAGGGGAGUUUGUGGUCUUUGUGUUACCGUUUUAGUUAAAUUUAUGUUUUAUCAUCAUCAAAUAGAAGUAGUUUGUUAGGGCUCAUACUAGACAUACAAAAUAGAAGUCUUUGUAUUGUUGUAAAUGGUUCAUAACUUAUAAGACCGUAGGGUUUUUUUUCUUUUGUUUUUUGUUUUUAGUUUUCUUUUUUUUCGAUCAGGAGGAUGGAGGCUAGCUUGCUGGUGAACUAAGGAGAGUUAAUGCUGUAGUGCUCACCUAAGCAUGUUAUUAGCCUUCAAGCUUUGAAAAUUGUAUUAAAAAUCCCGUCGAAGCAUUUUUAUUUCAUACAUUUGCAUUAUUUAGUUAUAAUCUUUUAUGUGGCAAUAAUAGGUUUUGCAUUAUUUACUAGAUUUGAUUAUUAAAUUAUAAUUGAGUGGUUCAUGAAAAAAUUGCCCGUUUUGACUAGAACUUAAAAGCUCAACCAGAUUUUGGAAAGAACAGUUAUACAUAACCUUCACAAAGGCUGCGUGGCCAGCAACAUUACGUGACACAUAUGAAAUUAUUAUAAAGGACCCCUACUAUAAAGGACACCAUGUAGUGUUGGUUCCAUCUAAAAAAGUCGAUCUCAUAAAAAGAUGUGUUUUUCUAUAUAGAAGUCACAUCUAUAUUUUUAUAUUUCCUGUUAACUUGACGAGCCCCAUACACAUUAUAUUUGGGAACGAGAGGCAGCUGCAGUUCUCUGGUAAGCAAAAAAAAACUAAUAUGCACUAUAUAAGAAUUGACAUCAGAAAUGUAUUCAACUGCAGAUUCACAGCCACCACCAAAAAGGCCGGGUGAAGGCGAAUGUCCGACUAAAAGAUGAACCGUUGAAGACAACCCUUUUGUCCACCUAAAAGAACAAGUAUCCGUGGAAUGGCAUCCUACAUCUAGAAAUGCCAAAGACAUUUCUUUUGUACAAAUCAUGCUUGAAAGUUCUAUCUGGAAGAAGCCUAUUAUUCCGUGCUCAUUGGCAUAUGACGGUUUUAAAAGUUAAAACAAUAUGUUUUUUUAAACAAUUUAUUGUAAGAUCACCCGUGUAACACACAUGAAAUUUAUCCAAUAUAUGUCUUUACAUAUAAUUUAAAUUUGAAUAAAAAUAAUAGGUUCGUU
rnacentral:lncRNA from 1 species